GUCAAGCUACAAAUAACUUGGUUUACCUUUUUAGCCAUCAGGAAAAUUUGUAAUAGUAUAUCUGAUCUAGCACGAAGAGCAAAAAGAGCUUUGGUCGAAUUGAUUGCCACCUUAAGUUAAAUUGAUCUUAUUUCAAAGUCAGCGUUCUUUAAGAUAUUCGAUUCGCAAAUACAACCUAUACUUUUAUAUGGCUCUGAAGUGUUGGGAUUUCAACAAUAUGACAAAUUGGAAAAAGUUCAUCUAUUAGCCUGUAAGAAAUUCCUGCAAGUAGGACAACAAACCCCAAAUGCUAUAAUCUACGGGGAAAGGGGUCGCUUUCCACUGUACAUCAACUCCUAUGUUAGAACACUUAAGUUUUGGCUUAAAUUAAUUCAUAUGAAUGAAGACAGAUGGCCAAAAAAGGCUUAUAAUAUGUUAUUCUAUUUAGAUAACUGUGGACGCCAUACAUGGGCUUCUAACAUUCGUUUACUUCUUUUUUCUCAUGGCUUUGGUUUUGUAUGGAUAUCGCAAACAGUUGGGAACCAGCUUUCAUUUCUACGACUUUUUAAGGAUACUUGUAUAAACAUGUUUUACCAAAACUGGAGAUCAGUCUUAAACUCUAGUUCAAGAUAUCAUUUAUAAGCAGAGUUUAAAAGUCUUUUAGAACCUGAAAAAUAUCUUUCAAUUUUGUAUGAAAGAAAAUUUAGAAACAUAAUUGUAAGAUUUAGAGCAGGUCUUUCAAAAUUGAAGAAUAAUGAAGCAGAUAUCUGUCGAUAGAAAAGUCUUUUCGAAUAUAUCCAGUCUGUAAUAAUGGUAUAGAGGAUGAAUUUCAUUUUUUACUCAUUUGUUCAUGUUAUAAUGAUCUCAGAAAAGAAUACUUACCGGCAAAACUUUGCCGAUAUCCUAGCUUGAACCAUUUCAAAUCUAUUAUGUGUAAUAACAUAGAAGCAGUCUUAAACAGUUUAUCACGUUGCCUAUAUUACGCUUAUGCAAAAAGAACAAGUAGUACAAUUCAAUUAUGACAUAAGUCAUGUGUCACGUUACUUUACCGUUGCAUCUGUGAACAAUUGGUAUAUUGUGAACUGUAAUUGUAUAUGGGCCCGAGGCCUUCAUGCAAAUAAAAGUUCUUCUUCUACUUCUACUGUAUAAAAAAUAUAUAACUAAAGCACUCUUUCAAAGGUGAUUGAUGCUAAAUAUAUGUUACAAGACAAACAUGAAAUUUAUAAAAUAAAAUUCCAAAUAGUAGUUAGAAUUUGAUGAGGAAAAAUAGAUACUGCAAGACAGAUUUAUCAGGUCAUUAUCCAUUUGAAGAAAAACACUUUCCUGGGCCCCAUUUCAAAUCUAACUAAAGAUAUAGUAUUUCAGUUAAUCACGGACCCUAUUCCUGUGUGUACAAGCAAUGUAAUUGUGUAUAAAAUUACUCGUCCCUGAUACUUUGCUGUUAUUUUUGCUUACAGGUGUUUGUAGCAAAGAUUUAAACAAUAAACAAAUAUUUGCACUUUUGGUUUAACGUGAUAUACAAACAUACUCAAUCAUAUAAUAAAGAAAUCUGUUUUGUGGUGACAAGACUUCACUGGAUUUGUUCAAUAUAUUGUCAAUAUGGGGAGUGUUUCACUUUACCAGUGGAUGGCUAUGGCUUAGUUUCCAAAGUACUUUUCCUGGAAAGUUAUUUCUGUUACAGGGCUCUAGACAAGGGCCGUAUAUACAAAUGAAAAUACUUGAGAUAAGAUGUACGAAUUAAGGAUCUGUGCAUCGCCUACAGGGCUCUAGAUAAGGGUCGCAUGUACAAAUGAAAAUACAUGAGAUAAGAUGUACGAAUUAAGGAAAGUAUCUGAUAUCUGGGUAUCGCCUACAGGGCUCUAGAUAAGGGCCGUAUGUACAAAUGAAAAUACUUGAGAUAAGAUGUACGAAUUAAGGGGAGUAUCCAAUAUCUGUGUAUCGCCUAAGCUUUAUUUAGUUUUCUUCACUAGAUACUUGAUUAUUUGGAGCACUAUUACCCUCAACCUCUUUAACAAUCCCACGAUCACAGCUAAGUCCUCACUUCUGCUACACAAACUGCAGAGCGGCUUUGAAAAGUAAACCAGAAUAUUCUUAUAUUUCUAUUUCAGAAAACCAUGACGUCUGUCGGCAACAUGGAUGAGUUGGGUGAACUCUUAGCAACUCUUCAAAAAAGGAGCAACUGAGCGAGCACUGAUGAGUGGAUUAAAUAUCUGUGAAUGUAUCACAGGCUGUGAGGAGGGAGGCUGCAGCUGAGGUCUUAACAGCCACAGAAAGGACACAGUGACCUGUGUGAUUGAAUGACUUCGAGUUCGAGGAGCUUGGCUUAGCAAUGGCGCAAGGAAAAAGUGACAUGAGAAACUGAGCUGCGCAUACAGUGCUGAAUUGCAAGGGAACAGCGUUCACAUUCAAAUACAGUGGACAAUAUCCACAGUCGUUUCAGCGCCUUGUAUGACAAAAACUUGGUAUUGACAGCGUUCAUAUGCACAUGCAGUGGACAAUAUCCAAAGUCGUUUCAGCACCUUGUAUGACAAAAACUUGGUAUUGACAGCGUUCAUAUGCACAUACAGUGGACAAUAUCCACAGUCGUUUCACCACCUUGUAUGACAAAAACUUGGUAUUGACAACUUAUGCAAGUUGCGAGCUUCAAAAUCUGCUUUGUGACAGGUAUUAACACUGUUAUAAUACCAUAAAGUUUUUUUUUAUUCUG